rnacentral:rRNA from 1 species
CCCUUAGAUGUUCUGGGCCGCACGCGCGCUACACUGACGAAUGCAACGAGCUUAUAACCUUGGCCGAAAGGUCUGGGUAAUCUCCAAAUUUCGUCGUGAUGGGGAUAGAUUAUUGCAAUUAUUAAUCUUCAACGAGGAAUGCCUAGUAAGCGCAAGUCAUCAACUUGCGUUGAUUACGUCCCUGCCCUUUGUACACACCGCCCGUCGCUCCUACCGAUUGAAUGGUCCGGUGAAGCGUUCGGACCGUGGCCUUUGGACGGUUCGCCGUCUGUUGGCUGCGGGAAGUUCGUUAAACCUUAUCAUUUAGAGGAAGGAGAANUCGUANCA